GAUCCUGGCUCAGGACGAACGCUGGCGGCGUGCUUAACACAUGCAAGUCGAACGAAAAGAGGGAAAGAGCUUGCUCUUUCCGGAAUUGAGUGGCAAACGGGUGAGUAACGCGUAAACAACCUGCCUUCAGGAUGGGGACAACAGACGGAAACGACUGCUAAUACCGAAUAAGUUCCAAGAGCCGCAUGGCUCAUGGAAGAAAAGGUGGCCUCUACCUGUAAGCUAUCGCCUGAAGAGGGGUUUGCGU
rnacentral:rRNA from 1 species